GCUGGCGGCGUGGCUAAGACAUGCAAGUCGAACGGUCCGAUAUUUAUUUGUUUACAAAUUGUGUCGGAUAGUGGCGAAAGGGUGAGUAAUGGGUAGGUAACGUACCUCGAACUUCGGGAUAGCGUCUGUUUAUCUUCGGAUAAACUUCCGAAAGGGGCAGUAAUACCGAAUAAUAUCAGGUGUCGAUAGGCAUCUGAUCAAAGAUUUAUCGGUUUGAGAGCGGCCUACCUCCUAUCAGCUUGUUGGUGAGGUAAGAGCUCACCAAGGCAAUGACGGGUAGCGGGACUGAGAGGUUGGCCCGCCACAUCGGGACUGAGACACUGCCCGGACCUCCACGGAGGGCUGCAGUAACGAAUCUUGCGCAAUGGGCGAAAGCCUGACGCAGCGACGCCGCGUGCGGGAAGAAGUCCCUCGGGAUGUAAACCGCUGUCAGGGGGAAGAAAGUGCGCUCCGGCGUAUUGAUCUAACCCAAAGGAAGUCACGGCUAACUUCGUGCCAGCAGCCGCGGUAAUACG
rnacentral:rRNA from 1 species